rnacentral:tRNA from 1 species
GCCGAAGUGGUGGAAUUGGUAGACACGCUAGGUUCAGGGUCUAGUGGAGGUUCCUCCGUGGGAGUUCGAGUCUCCCCUUCGGCACCA